CUAGUAAGUUGGAUGAUCGCUCCGACCUCGGUCAGAGAGGAAAGUCCGAACACUCACUUUAAUAUUAUAUUAGAGUAGCAAGGUAGCGGGUAACACCCGUCGUCCGCAAGGAUAGAGGUGCGAACAGAGACGAGCUCCGACUUCGGUCGGAGGGGUGAAACGGCUAAAUCCUUACCUGAGUGCAAGAGCAAGUAUCUAGUAGAAGAUGUUUAUGAUUUUCUAUUAGUGAAAGGUGGCUCGCUUGAAUCCGUCAGUAAUGGCGAGAUCAGACAAAUGAUCAUUACCUUGUCAUUCGACAGGGCACAGAAUUCGGCUUACAGACUUACUAGGACA
rnacentral:RNase_P_RNA from 1 species